rnacentral:rRNA from 1 species
AACGAACGCUGGCGGCAUGCCUAACACAUGCAAGUCGAACGAUGCCUUCGGGCAUAGUGGCGCACGGGUGCGUAACGCGUGGGAAUCUGCCUUUCGGUUCGGAAUAACUCAGGGAAACUUGAGCUAAUACCGGAUAACGUCGCAAGACCAAAGAUUUAUCACGGAAAGAUGAGCCCGCGUAGGAUUAGCUAGUUGGUGAGGUAAAGGCUCACCAAGGCGACGAUCCUUAGCUGGUCUGAGAGGAUGAGCAGCCACACUGGGACUGAGACACGGCCCAGACUCCUACGGGAGGCAGCAGUGGGUAAUAUUGGAAAAUGGGCGAAAGGCUGAUCCAGCAAUGCUGCGUGAGUGAUGAAGUCCGUAGGGUUGUAAAGCUCGUUUACCCGGGAAGAUAAUGACGGUACCGGGAGAAUAAGCCCCGGCUAACUCCGUG